UUAAAUUGAAGAGUUUGAUCAUGGCUCAGAUUGAACGCUGGCGGCAGGCCUAACACAUGCAAGUCGAACGGUAACAGGAAGAAGCUUGCUUCUUUGCUGACGAGUGGCGGACGGGUGAGUAAUGUCUGGGAAACUGCCUGAUGGAGGGGGAUAACUACUGGAAACGGUAGCUAAUACCGCAUAAUGUCGCAAGACCAAAGAGGGGGACCUUCGGGCCUCUUGCCAUCGGAUGUGCCCAGAUGGGAUUAGCUAGUAGGUGGGGUAACGGCUCACCUAGGCGACGAUCCCUAGCUGGUCUGAGAGGAUGACCAGCCACACUGGAACUGAGACACGGUCCAGACUCCUACGGGAGGCAGCAGUGGGGAAUAUUGCACAAUGGGCGCAAGCCUGAUGCAGCCAUGCCGCGUGUAUGAAGAAGGCCUUCGGGUUGUAAAGUACUUUCAGCGGGGAGGAAGGGAGUAAAGUUAAUACCUUUACUCAUUGACGUUACCCGCAGAAGAAGCACCGGCUAACUCCGUGCCAGCAGCCGCGGUAAUACGGAGGGUGCAAGCGUUAAUCGGAAUUACUGGGCGUAAAGCGCACGCAGGCGGUUUGUUAAGUCAGAUGUGAAAUCCCCGGGCUCAACCUGGGAACUGCAUCUGAUACUGGCAAGCUUGAGUCUCGUAGAGGGGGGUAGAAUUCCAGGUGUAGCGGUGAAAUGCGUAGAGAUCUGGAGGAAUACCGGUGGCGAAGGCGGCCCCCUGGACGAAGACUGACGCUCAGGUGCGAAAGCGUGGGGAGCAAACAGGAUUAGAUACCCUGGUAGUCCACGCCGUAAACGAUGUCGACUUGGAGGUUGUGCCCUUGAGGCGUGGCUUCCGGAGCUAACGCGUUAAGUCGACCGCCUGGGGAGUACGGCCGCAAGGUUAAAACUCAAAUGAAUUGACGGGGGCCCGCACAAGCGGUGGAGCAUGUGGUUUAAUUCGAUGCAACGCGAAGAACCUUACCUGGUCUUGACAUCCACGGAAGUUUUCAGAGAUGAGAAUGUGCCUUCGGGAACCGUGAGACAGGUGCUGCAUGGCUGUCGUCAGCUCGUGUUGUGAAAUGUUGGGUUAAGUCCCGCAACGAGCGCAACCCUUAUCCUUUGUUGCCAGCGGUCCGGCCGGGAACUCAAAGGAGACUGCCAGUGAUAAACUGGAGGAAGGUGGGGAUGACGUCAAGUCAUCAUGGCCCUUACGACCAGGGCUACACACGUGCUACAAUGGCGCAUACAAAGAGAAGCGACCUCGCGAGAGCAAGCGGACCUCAUAAAGUGCGUCGUAGUCCGGAUUGGAGUCUGCAACUCGACUCCAUGAAGUCGGAAUCGCUAGUAAUCGUGGAUCAGAAUGCCACGGUGAAUACGUUCCCGGGCCUUGUACACACCGCCCGUCACACCAUGGGAGUGGGUUGCAAAAGAAGUAGGUAGCUUAACCUUCGGGAGGGCGCUUACCACUUUGUGAUUCAUGACUGGGGUGAAGUCGUAACAAGGUAACCGUAGGGGAACCUGCGGUUGGAUCACCUCCUUACCUUAAAGAA
rnacentral:rRNA from 1 species